CCCCUCUGCCCCCCAGGUGAGCUUCCCGGAUGUGGAGCGGGCAGAAUGGCUGAACAAGGUCCUGGCCCAGGCCUGGCCCUUUUUCGGGCAGUACAUGGAGAAGCUGCUGGUGGAGAACAUCGCCCCGGCCAUCCGCGCCUCCAACACCCACCUCCAGACCUUCACCUUCACCAAGGUGGACAUGGGCGAGAAGCCUCUCCGGGUCCUGGGGGUCCGGGCUCACCCCGGUGCCCACAAGAAGCAGAUCCUGCUGGACCUCAACAUCAGGUGAGGGGCCGGA